CCAGCCUUCAAGACUGGUCCCUUUUUGGCAGUGUCUCUCUUCAUCUAAUUUUUCUCUCAAAGGAAAGGAUGGGACAGGAACGGUAAAAAUUUUGAGAUAAUUACGGCCACCGAAAAUAGAAAAAUAUGUGCCGGAAGAGUUGUGGUCGGACUGACUGAUAUUCCCAAAGUCCACUACUUGACCUGCAUUCUAUAACUAAAUUAAUUACAGGUGACUAAAGUAGAGAGAGUACUGACAAUCCAGUAAGCUAUUGAGUCGUUACACAAAGAUGUAACGUACAUAAAUCUCAAUCCACAGUGGUUUUUUAUGGAUGCUUCUUCUUCGGUCCACGUACUACGGUACUAGUAACUGAAAGAACCAUAGAAUACUGGCGUCUUGAAGCAGAAGAAAGUGUUAUUGCGAUAUACGAAGAGGUAGCUCUAAGUGGAAGCUCUACUGCUUUUAUGCAACAGUCAGUGCCCCCAAUACCAUGGAUCAGUCUCAUGGACAUAUAUAUGGUUUCUGAGGUGCUGGCUACAUUUCACGGUGAAAGGCGAGAUAGUCCCCGUGGCAUCCAAAUAGGCCCAAUAGACAAUAGGGGUUCCUGAUACGGAUACCAGUACAGACCUGAAUUAUAAAUAUGAAACAUAUUAAUCUUCAUCGGUACAUUUAAAUAUACCCUGUAUAUUCAAACAAUUUCGUGAAUAUGAAAAUUUAUAUGUCGUCAUUAUGAUUUGUAUUUAAGCUAAACCAAAUUCCCUAAAAAAAACUAACAUAGCUAUGUUAGAGAAGCCUUGGUAUAGGUUUCAAAUCCAAUUGCUUGUGAUUAUCCAUAUUUAAAUCCAUGAAUUUUUGUUGAUAAAUAUUUGAAAAUCACCUAGGGGUGUGUAAUAUUCAUA